rnacentral:lncRNA from 1 species
UUGGCCAUUAAUCACUCCUACAUAUACUAAUUAUUUGUAUUCCCGUGAUGCCUCAUGAUCAGACUCAUUUCGUGAUUUUUGUGUGUCGCACAGUGUCACAGUCAAGAUUGAUUUCCCUCGAGUUGUUCGCAUAACGGCCCAAGUGCCAACACGUCCACCAGAGGUCAAAGUCAUCGAACCCACACACUAGUUACUGACUCGCUAUGACUAGGGCCCCGUAAAUCACUCCAUUCAGAACACUGCCAACGAAGCGAUCGAGCAAACUAAGUUACAUAGUCUAGUGAUUCGCAGUCUCGUGGAUGAUGUUCCCUUCUUGUAUGUAGAAAGUCAUCAUAUAUCCACCCGAGGUUUGGGGUUAUUCUUCAACACCCUAGGGUUCUGACAAUCGUCCAUUGGGUUCGAGACAGUGAUUAUAUGAGUUCGUUCCUUCUCCUUGACAUACUGUCACUUGGCAGAUAAAUAAGCACAAUGCCACUUCAAUAUACCCACAUCCAUUGCUCUAGUAGGUAAAUGCUAUUGCAUCCACAAGGUGGGGUUCAUCUCAGUGAUUUCUACAGAACCCCGGAUCCCCCCACACCCAGAACAGCCCGAAUAACGGCAAACCUGACGUUGACUUUUGAUGGUAAUGUGAAAAAGGCCAUAGAUUUCAUGAUAUAACUGCUAGCCCACUGGAUUAAGACUACUAUUCGUUGAGAUGGCUGGCGAAGCCUGAUCCAUCGAGGCUCAGUAUAGCCCUUGAAAACUAGGGGUUGUUGAGAUAUAUUUCAACGAUAUUUUCAUAGUGUAGAUGCAAGCUGUGGUUGCUCUGAGACGUCGACUCCGGCAUGAGUGGUAAAAUACAGAGUACGAAGGACUGGUUUCGCAGGUAGCUGAUCCACCUCUUUGUUACCGUACGGAAUAUUGUUGAGAUGGGACCGGAUAUUUAUAUAAUCGCUGCUCCCAUCCAACAUCAGGACACAACCCCUAACCCUAUUUGAACCAAGUGAUCGAUCCGCCGACCAGCAUGAUGACAACAUAAGAGUCGAUUGUAGAUGACUCAA